GAGAAAGUUUCAAGAAGCUGCAAGUGGGAAAAGGGGAAAAUGAAAGGAAAGGGCAGAGAAAAAACACUGUUUUUUUCCUUGUAUUCAUCUUAAGAUUCCUGUCCCAGCACAGCUCAGUGUUCGAAUUUGGUGGAACAGAAGCCACUCUGAACAAACCAUCUGGGACUGCUGAGGUUAUGCUUGGCCUCGGCCAGGUCCCAUCGCUUCUAUCACCUCUUGCUGCCACUUUGCCCAGGUCAGUGUACAGCUGCCCCUGGAGCUCAGGGGAGAAGCAGCAUCUCUGAGCUGGAAGGCAGGAAAGAGCAUCUCUCAUCACCUUGCAGCUAGUCCUGACAUGGUGAGCAAACAGUCAGCAGGGGCCAAUCAACCACUCUACAUCCAUUUCCCCAGCACCUUCAGACGUUUCCAUUUAUUCUGCCCCAAUGCAGAAUGAGCCGUGUCAGCUGAAAUCACUGAUGACUGGAGCAGAUUAGGAACAUGCUCAGGGUCAGGAACUCCUGCGCUGCAGUUUAAAAGGCUCUUACCACCUUUCACCUCUUCUGUUUUUGCAGGCAGUCCAAGCUGUGCAGGAUAAGCAGCAUCAGCUUCUUUGGAGAUGCUGAUUCUCCUCUGGCUUCAUGUUCCUGGGUGGCUUCCAGAUGUACCAGAGGAGCUGCACCAGGAAUGCCAGCCAGCCAGCCAGCUCUCGAAUUAGAGACUGCAGCCAUCUGAGAGCAUGGAUAUGUCCUCCUGCUAAGCUUGCACACCAGAUAUUAAUUGAGCCAUUUCACAGUGGAGCUCCUCAGGUGCUUUUGGAAGAAUAUCCUUUGGUCUUGGUGAUUAGUUAAUACCUUUUGAUAUACUUCAUGAUCUCCUUCAAUAUUGGAAUGAUCCUCUCAUGCGUUCCCUUACAAAGAAAGGGUAGCUGUGACCUCUUCCAUGGUCUGGGAGCUUCUGAAGUCAUUGUAGCCAGAGCCAGAACAGCAGUACCUAAGAGCCACUGAGAUUUUCUUCUGCAGUAUGUAAAACAAGUGGUAUCAGAGCGCUGAAUUUCAUGUUGGAGACACAUGACUGAUGUCUAAAUAACAGCAAAUCUAUACCAGUUCUUUAUUAUCCUUGAGUAUCCUCCAGUCAUGCAUUAAAGAACGUGACCCACAAUUGCUAACCCUUGUUUUGUCAUUCUAUCAAAACAGACUUGAUGUUAUUUAAUUGAUUUGUUUUCUUGUGAAAAUCAAGUGUCGUUACCUCUAAUGUCACUUAUAGUGUAUGUGGUAGACAGUUCCACUUACAAUCAGUAUCCUGAUACAGUUGAACUGUUAGGUGCUAUACAGACACGAAAGGCGGCGUUGUCUUUGUCCUGGGUGUUUGCAUGGUGAUAUAUCCUCUCUCGUACUGCAGGGUGACCCCCAGCUCCCUCCCUGCUAUGGCUGAAGGGUCUUAAACCUGAGAUACAGCUCUCCUGUUCUUGUACCUGAGACCUAAUAAUUCAUUUAGCUGAAAGUCUUACAUAAAGCUGCAAGGCCAGGGAAAGCACUGUUAUGCAUAAUCUUUGGGAACCUUGGGGUUCAGUAACAUCCCAAGCUUGAAGCUUCCGGGAGAAGAUGAAACCAUCCUCUCCUGGAACGACCACCACAGUUAUUAGUUUCUGC